GAUGAACGCUGGCGGCGUGCUUAACACAUGCAAGUCGAACGAUGAAGCCCAGCUUGCUGGGUGGAUUAGUGGCGAACGGGUGAGUAACACGUGAGUAACCUGCCCUUAACUCUGGGAUAAGCCUGGGAAACUGGGUCUAAUACCGGAUAGGAGCGUCCACCGCAUGGUGGGUGUUGGAAAGAUUUAUCGGUUUUGGAUGGGCUCGCGGCCUAUCAGCUUGUUGGUGAGGUAAUGGCUCACCAAGGCGACGACGGGUAGCCGGCCUGAGAGGGUGACCGGCCACACUGGGACUGGGACAAGGCCCAGACUCCUACGGGAGGCAGCAGUGGGGAAUAUUGCACAAUGGGCGCAAGCCUGAUGCAGCGACGCCGCGUGAGGGAUGACGGCCUUCGGGUUGUAAACCUCUUUCAGUAGGGAAGAAGCGAAAGUGACGGUACCUGCAGAAGAAGCACCGGCUAACUACGUG
rnacentral:rRNA from 1 species